GGUACCCUAUGAAUCUAGUGGAAUCACUUCUGCACAAACUUGACUACUGAAAUCAGUGUGCGGAAAUGCUUCUGCUACAUUUUUAGGGUCU
rnacentral:pre_miRNA from 1 species